UCAUUCAUAUAUCCUUAUGUACAUAUUCUUUAUCCACUUACACUGUGUAUAAGACAGUAGUUUUGGAAUUGUUAGUUAGAUUACUUGUUGGUUAUUACUGCAUUGUCGGAACUAGAAGCACAAGCAUUUCGCUACACUCGCAUUACCAUCUGCUAACCAUGUGUAUGUGACAAAUGAAAUUUGAUUUCAUUUGAUUUGAAGCCGAAGAACACCAUCCCAACCGUGAAGCACAGGGGUGGCAGCAUCAUGUUGUGGGGCUGCUUUGCUGCAGGAGGGACUGGUGCACUUCACAAAAUAGAUGGCAUCAUGACGAAGGGAAAUUACGUGGAUAUAUUGAAGCAACAUCUCAAGACGUCAGUCAGGAAGUUAAAGCUCGGUUGCAAAUGGGUCUUCCAAAUGGACGAUGGCCCCAAGAAGGACAACAAAGUCAAGGUAUUGGAGUGGCCAUCACAAAGCCCUGACCUCAAUCCUAUAGAACAUUUGUGGGCAGAAAUUAACAAGUGUGUGUGAGCAAGAGGCCUACAAACCUGACUCAGUUACACCAGCUCUGUCAGGAGGAAUAAGCCAAAAUUCAUCCAACUUAUUGUGGGAAGCUUGUGGAAGGCUACCCAAAACGUUUGACCCAAGUUACAGGCAAUGCUACCAAAUACUAAUUGAGUGUAUGUAAACUUCUGACCCAUUGGGAAUGUGAUGAAAGAAAUAAAAGCUGAAAUAAAUCAUUCUCUCUACUAUUAUUCUGACAUUUCACAUUCUUACAAUAAAGUGGUGAUCCUAACUGACCUAAAACAGGGAAUUCUUACUAGGACUAAAUGUCAGGAAUUGUGAAACUGAGUUUAAAUGUAUUUGGCUAAGGUGUAUGUAAACUUCCAACUUCAACUGUAUGUACUGUAUUUAAGUACUUUUUUGUAUAGUAUUAUAGUAUAAAUAGUGUUGUGUUUCGUUAGUUAGCUAGCUAAUUAGUUUCUUCAAAUGUAGUAUUUUCAAAUUCAACUUAGCCAACAAACGUAGGCCUACAUAUCUUUGUGUUUACGUAAUGUGGGUAGCUACACUGCUCAAUAGCUUGUUAGCUAGCUAGCUAAGAUAUACUAACAUUCAUUAUUGUGUAAGUUAUAAUGUGUUGGAUGUAUGAAGAUAGCUACCAUUAAGUUGCAAUCUACUGCAGAUUAUCUACCAAGCUAGCUACCGCAGGGUAAGCCUUAUGUGUACCAUUUCUGACUUGUUAUUGUUUAUCAGUGUAAAACAGAGACAAGCUGAGUGGAGAAGUCAGUAUGAGGGCCUCUUGCUACAGGUCAAUGAAAAAUAACGAGGUGCCACACAGUCUGAGAGUAGGGAGAAAGCUAGGAUAAGAUUGUUAAAGUUUUGCAACCAGUUUAAGUUCAGAUGUUAGAAUAAAGUUUCCAUGUUGGAGAUGAUGGGCAAUUACAUAGCAGAUUCAAGCAUUAGGUUCAAAUGAAUGACAGAAACUAUUGAACAAAUGCAAGAUGUUUUCAGAGAAAGUAUAGUUUUCAAGCAGUAACAGUUUUUAUUUUUCUCAUGUAUCACUUUAAACAGAGUAUAGUCAAAUAUGGUCUGUUUUUGUCUGUAUCGCAUAAUUAGGGCACUUGUUGUGACAUCCGCUUAUUGACAUGUAUGAUGUAGGGAUGAGGUCAAGUGUUGUCAACACACAUUAAAAGAAUAAGACAGUUGUGAACAAACAAAUGAAGAAUAACAGGUGACGAAAUAACAAGGAACAGAAUAUUGAUUACCAUUCAAUUGAAUAGUAUGUGAUGAGAUGAUAACGAACCGAUUACUAAUCAAUAAUAGUGAACUACAAUUAGUUGAAACACUAAAUGAAGAACCAAUUGAGAAAUAAACAACUAGGUGAUAACUGAGGAACCAAUUAAGAAAUAAACAACUAGGUGAUAACUGAAGAACCAAUUAAGAAAUAAACAACUAGGUGAUAACUGAAGAACCAAUUAAGAAAUAAACAACUAGGUGAUAACUGAGGAACCAAUUAAGAAAUAAACAACGAGGUGAUAACUGAAGAACCAAUUAAGAAAUAAACAACGAGGUGAUAACUGAAGAACCAAUUAAGAAAUAAACAACGAGGUGAUAACUGAGGAACCAAUUAAGAAAUAAACAACUAGGUGAUAACUGAGGAACCAAUUAAGAAAUAAACAACGAGGUGAUAACUGAAGAACCAAUUAAGAAAUAAACAACGAGGUGAUAACUGAAGAACCAAUUAAGAAAUAAACAACUAGGUGAUAACUGAAGAACCAAUUAAGAAAUAAACAACGAGGUGAUAACUGAGGAACCAAUUAAGAAAUAAACAACGAGGUGAUAACUGAAGAACCAAUUAAGAAAUAAACAACGAGGUGAUAACUGAAGAACCAAUUAAGAAAUAAACAACUAGGUGAUAACUGAAGAACCAAUUAAGAAAUAAACAACGAGGUGAUAACUGAGGAACCAAUUAAGAAAUAAACAACUAGGUGAUAACUGAGGAACCAAUUAAGAAAUAAACAACGAGGUGAUAACUGAAGAACCAAUUAAGAAAUAAACAACUAGGUGAUAACUGAAGAACCAAUUAAGAAAUAAACAACUAGGUGAUAACUGAAGAACCAAUUAAGAAAUAAACAACUAGGUGAUAACUGAAGAACCAAUUAAGAAAUAAACAACGAGGUGAUAACUGAAGAACCAAUUAAGAAAUAAACAACUAGGUGAUAACUGAAGAACCAAUUAAGAAAUAAACAACUAAGUGAUAACUGAAGAACCAAUUAAGAAAUAAACAACUAGGUGAUAACUGAAGAACCAAUUAAGAAAUAAACAACGAGGUGAUAACUGAAGAACCAAUUAAGAAAUAAACAACUAGGUGAUAACUGAAGAACC